ensembl:misc_RNA Metazoa_SRP Metazoan signal recognition particle RNA
GCUGGGCAUGGUGGCUCAUGCCUGUAAUCCCAGCAGUUUGGGAAGCUGAGGCAGGCAUAUCAUUUGAGCCCAGGAGUUCCAGAACAGCCUGGGCAACAUGGUGAAACCCCGUCUUUGUAAAAAGUACAAAAAUUAGCCAGGCAUGGUUGUGUGCACCUGUAUUCCUGGCAACCUGGGGGGCUGAGGCAUGCUUGAGUACGGGAAGGUCAAGGCUGCAGUGAGCCAAGAUCGCGCCACUGCUCUCUAGCCUAGGCGACAGAGUGAGACCCUGCCUCU